rnacentral:rRNA from 1 species
UAGUUGUAAUAUUAAAAAUUAGAAUUAGUAUUAGAUAUGUUCUUGAAAAUUAAAGAUUUUGGCGGUAUUUUAGUCUUUUCAGAGGAACCUGUUCUAUAAUUGAUAGUCCACGAUAAAUUAAACUUAUUUUAUUAAUUUGUAUAACGUCGUAAAAGAAUAUUUUAUAAGAAUUAUAAUAUUCAAUAUUUAUAAUUUUAUUAAAAAUCAGAUCAUGUUGCAGUUUAUAGAUAAGAAGAAAUGGGUUACAAUAUAUAAAUUAUAUAAACGGAUUAAUUUAUUGAAAAUUUUUAUGAAGGUGGAUUUGAAAGUAAUUUAUUAAAUUUUUUUUAAAUGAUUUAAGCUCUAAAAUAUG